GUUGUAGGUGCCGCGUGGUUGCCGACUGCAACGCCUGCGUACGCACGCACCGCGAAGGCUCUCGACACCGUCGGCGCAACAAGUAGCAGAUUAUAAAAAUCACCCCGAGGGCUGCUGCUGUUGCUGCCGCCGGCGGUGGCACGAGAGAGGGAAAAAAAUCCACGGGUGGAAUGAGGGGGAUGCUGCUGCGCGGGUGGAAACGAGACGAAGGGAUCGCCGAGAGGAGGGUGGAAGAGGAACGGAAUUACUGAUGUUGUCCCUUUCUUUCGCCAUAUUAGGAAUCGCAUGUGGAACAAAUCAACUUCCGGUUGGUGGCCGUAAAUUGAAUCGAUAAUCAUGGUAAUGAUUCGGAUAUUGCACAGU